AUACGUAGGGAGCAAACGUUGUCCGGAUUUAUUGGGCGUAAAGGGCUCGUAGGCGGUUCAACAAGUCGGUCGUGAAAGCCCGGGGCUCAACCCCGGGAGGCCGGUCGAAACUGUUGUGACUAGAGUUCGGUAGAGGUGAGUGGAAUUCUCGGUGUAGCGGUGGAAUGCGCAGAUAUCGAGAGGAACACCAUUAGCGAAGGCGGCUCACUGGGCCGAUACUGACGCUGAGGAGCGAAAGCGUGGGGAGCAAACCGGAUUAGAAACCCGAGUAGUCC
rnacentral:rRNA from 1 species